ACUCUAGUGGCGGACGGGUGAGUAACACGUGAGAAUUUGCCUUUAGGAGGGGGAUAACAAUUGGAAACAAAUGCUAAUACCCCAUAUGCUUUAGAGUGAAAUGGAUUUAUAUUUAUCCGCCUAGAGAGAAGCUCGCGGCUGAUUAGCUUGUUGGUGAGGUAAGAGCUUACCAAGGCGACGAUCAGUAUCUGGUUUGAGAGGACGAUCAGACACACUGGAACUGAGACACGGUCCAGACUCCUACGGGAGGCAGCAGUGGGGAAUUUUCCGCAAUGGGCGAAAGCCUGACGGAGCAAUACCGCGUGAGGGAAGACUGCCUAUGGGUUGUAAACCUCUUUUUUCAGGGAGGAAUCAUUGACGUGUACCUGAAGAAUAAGCAUCGGCUAACUCCGUGCCAGCAGCCGCGGUAAGACGGAGGAUGCAAGUGUUAUCCGGAAUCACUGGGCGUAAAGCGUCUGUAGGUGGUUUAAUAAGUCAACUGUUAAAUCUUGAGGCUUAACUUCAAAAUCGCAGUCGAAACUAUUAGACUAGAGUAUAGUAGGGGUAAAGGGAAUUUCCAGUGGAGCGGUGAAAUGCGUAGAUAUUGGAAAGAACACCGAUGGCGAAAGCACUUUACUGGGCUAUUACUAACACUCAGAGACGAAAGCUAGGGUAGCAAAUGGGAUUAGAUACCCCAGUAGUCCUAGCCGUAAACAAUGGAUACUAGAUGUUGAACAGAUCGACCUGUGCAGUAUCAAAGCUAACGCGUUAAGUAUCCCGCCUGGGAAGUAUGCUCGCAAGAGUGAAACUCAAGGGAAUUG
rnacentral:rRNA from 1 species